UACGGAGGGGGCUAGCGUUGUUCGGAAUUACUGGGCGUAAAGCGCACGUAGGCGGCUUUGUAAGUUAGAGGUGAAAGCCCAGGGCUUAACCCUGGAAUUGCCUUUAAGACUGCAUCGCUAGAAUCGUGGAGAGGUGAGUGGAAUUCCGAGUGUAGAGGUGAAAUUCGUAGAUAUUCGGAAGAACACCAGUGGCGAAGGCGGCUCACUGGAGCUGGUAUUGACGCUGAGGUACGAAAGCGUGGGGAGCAAACAGG
rnacentral:rRNA from 1 species